rnacentral:rRNA from 1 species
GAUGAACGCUGGCGGCGUGCCUAAUACAUGCAAGUCGAGCGAACAGACGAGGAGCUUGCUCCUCUGACGUUAGCGGCGGACGGGUGAGUAACACGUGGAUAACCUACCUAUAAGACUGGGAUAACUUCGGGAAACCGGAGCUAAUACCGGAUAAUAUCUUGAACCGCAUGGUUCAAUAGUGAAAGACGGUUUUGCUGUCACUUAUAGAUGGAUCCGCGCCGCAUUAGCUAGUUGGUAAGGUAACGGCUUAUCAAGGCAACGAUGCGUAGCCGACCUGAGAGAGUGAUCGGCGACACUGGAGCUGAGACACGGUCCAGACUCCUACGGGAGGCAGCAGUAGGGAAUCUUCCGCAAUGGGCGAAAGCCUGACGGAGCAACGCCGCGUGAGUGAUGAAGGUCUUCGGAUCGUAAAACUCUGUUAUUAGGGAAGAACAAAUGUGUAAGUAACUAUGCACGUCUUGACGGUACCUAAUCAGAAAGCCACGGCUAACUACGUG